UCGGCGUUGUAUUAUUUGCAUACCGUAUUUCUCUUUUCUUUUCCAGUCUUCUGACAGUGUCCAUGUUUACUUAGGGUAGAUUACUAGCUAUUUGCAGGUUUGGU